rnacentral:rRNA from 1 species
GACGAACGCUGGCGGCGUGCUUAACACAUGCAAGUCGAACGUGAUUUUUGUGGAAAUUCUUUCGGGAAUGGAAAUGAAAUGAAAGUGGCGAACGGGUGAGUAACACGUGAGCAACCUACCUUACACAGGGGGAUAGCCGUUGGAAACGACGAUUAAUAUCGCAUGAGACCACAGAAUCGCAUGAUAUAGGGGUCAAAGAUUUAUCGGUGUAAGAAGGGCUCGCGUCUGAUUAGCUAGUUGGAAGGGUAAAGGCCUACCAAGGCGACGAUCAGUAGCCGGUCUGAGAGGAUGAACGGCCACAUUGGAACUGAGACACGGUCCAAACUCCUACGGGAGGCAGCAGUGGGGAAUAUUGCACAAUGGGGGGAACCCUGAUGCAGCGACGCCGCGUGAGCGAAGAAGGUUUUCGAAUCGUAAAGCUCUGUCCUAUGAGAAGAUAAUGACGGUAUCAUAGGAGGAAGCCCCGGCUAAAUACGUGCCAGCAGCCGCGGUAAUACGUAUGGGGCGAGCGUUGUCCGGAAUUAUUGGGCGUAAAGGGUACGUAGGCGGUUUUUUAAGUCAGGUGUGAAAGCGUGAGGCUUAACCUCAUUAAGCACUUGAAACUGGAAGACUUGAGUGAAGGAGAGGAAAGUGGAAUUCCUAGUGUAGCGGUGAAAUGCGUAGAUAUUAGGAGGAAUACCGGUGGCGAAGGCGACUUUCUGGACUUUUACUGACGCUCAGGUACGAAAGCGUGGGGAGCAAACAGG